rnacentral:tmRNA from 1 species
GGGGAUGUUCUGGUUUUGACAGCAUCGAUGUUGGAAGGUAAGCACGCCGGGACCUGUAGGUUAUCCCGUUAAUCAGGACCUUCGAAAAAUCAGUUGCCAAAAACAACUUCGCACUCGCUGCUUAAUUAGACCAAGUCUAAAAGCUUAAUCCGCGUCGCCAAGGCUGCGACGCCGACGAGUAUCCCUCGGACUUUCCGCCCGUUAUUGUCCGGCCCAGGGGUAUCAUUCAGAACGGGAUGCACCGGAGGACGCCUUUAAAUCCGGCCAAGUCCCAAAGGCUAAGGGAUGGUUCGCCCGUCAUCCGGCAGGCCCUCCCCUACAACCAAAGGAUGAAUAAGCGUGUAGAAAGCCCUCGGGCACGUUGUUUGGACGGCGGUUCGAAUCCGCCCAUCUCCAC